AUUGAACGCUGGCGGCAGGCCUAACACAUGCAAGUCGAGCGAGUGGCGGACGGGUGAGUAAUGUCUGGGGAACUGCCCGAUAGAGGGGGAUAACUACUGGAAACGGUAGCUAAUACCGCAUACUAUCGGAUGUACCCAUAUGGGAUUAGCUAGUAGGUGGGGUAACGGCUCACCUAGGCGACGAUCCCUAGCUGGUCUGAGAGGAUGAUCAGCAACACUGGGACUGAGACACGGGCCAGACUCCUACGGGAGGCAGCAGUGGGGAAUAUUGCACAAUGGGCGCAAGCCUGAUGCAGCCAUGCCGCGUGUAUGAAGAAGGCCUUAGGGUUGUAAAGUACUUUCAGCGGGGAGGCGUUACUCGCAGAAGAAGCACCGGCUAACUCCGUGCCAGCAGCCGCGGUAAUAC
rnacentral:rRNA from 1 species